rnacentral:rRNA from 1 species
UUGACGGGACCGCACAAGCGGUGGAUGAUGUGGUUUAAUUCGAUGCAACGCGAAAACCUUACCCACCUUUGACAUGGCAGGAAUCCUAAAGAGAUUGGGAGUGCUCGAAAGAGAACCUGCACACAGGUGCUGCAUGGCUGUCGUCAGCUCGUGUCGUGAGAUGUUGGGUUAAGUCCCGCAACGAGCGCAACCCUUGCCAUUAGUUGCUACGAAAGGGCACUCUAAUGGGACUGCCGGUGACAAACCGGAGGAAGGUGGGGAUGACGUCAAGUCCUCAUGGCCCUUAUAGGUGGGGCUACACACGUCAUACAAUGGCCGGUACAGAGGGUAGCCAACCCGCGAGGGGGAGCCAAUCCCACAAAGCCGGUCGUAGUCCGGAUCGCAGUCUGCAACUCGACUGCGUGAAGUCGGAAUCGCUAGUAAUCGCGGAUCAGCAUGUCGCGGUGAAUACGUUCCCGGGUCUU